rnacentral:rRNA from 1 species
AGUGAACGCUGGCGGUAGGCCUAACACAUGCAAGUCGAACGGCAGCACAGUAAGAGCUUGCUCUUACGGGUUGCGAGUGGCGGACGUGUGAGGAAUACAUCGGAAUCUACUUUUUCGUGGGGGAUAACGUAGGGAAACUUACUCUAAUACCGCAUACGACCUACGGGUGAAAGCAGUGGAUCUUCGGACCUUUCGCGAUUGAAUGAGCCGAUGUCGGAUUAGCUAGUUGGCGGGGUAAAGGCCCACCAAGUGGACGAUCCGUAGCUUGUCUGAGAGGAGGAUAGCCCACCUUGGAACGGGACCACGGUCCAGACUCCUACGGGAGGCCGCAGUGGGGAAUAUUGGACAAUGGGGGCAAGCCUGAUCCAGCCAUACCGAGUGGGUGAAGAAGGCCUUCGGGUUGUAAAGACCUUUUGUUGGGAAAGAAAAGCAGCAGGUUAAUACCCCGCUGUUCUGACGGUACCCAAAGAAUAAGCACCGGCUAACUUCGUG